UUUCUGAAGCAGACGGCUUAUAGCAAGAAUCGAAUUUCCCGUGGCAAACGAGCUCGAGUGGGCCAGGGAUACUGAGACGUGUGGAGUUCGUUUCCUGAUUACACAGCAAAAUUUUGAACCCAGAGACUUGAGGAACACCCUUAAUCAAGUCCACUGACUGUCUUGACAUGGAAGCUGCAGCCUUCCAGAAUUGCAAAUGCAUCGAACUUCAAGAAGAAGUAAAGAAAUUGACGGAGUUGCAAAGGGAGUGUAAAGCAGAAAUACAGCAACUCGAAGACAAGCUGGAUGACUUUCUUGAUUAUUUUAAGAAUCUU